rnacentral:rRNA from 1 species
AGAGUUUGAUCCUGGCUCAGAAUGAACGCUGGCGGCGUGCUUAAGACAUGCAAGCCGUACGUGAAAGUCCGCAAGGAUGAGUAAAGUGGCGCACGGGUGAGUAAUAUUUAGGUAACACACCCUUCCGCUGUGGAUAACCAGACGAAAGUUUGGCUAACACAGAAUAGUCUAAUCGAAACUGCGGUUUUGAUUAGUAAAGCCGUAAGGCGCGGAAGGUCUGGCCUAAAUCCCAUUAGCUAGUUGGUAGGGUAAUGGCCUACCAAGGCUACGAUGGGUAGCUGUUCUUAGAGGAAGACCAGCCACACUGGAACUGGAACACGGUCCAGACUCCUACGGGAGGCAGCAGUUAGGAAUUUUGCGCAAUGGGGGAAACCCUGACGCAGCAACGCCGCGUGGAGGAUGAAGGCCUUCGGGUUGUAAACUCCUUUUAGCAGGGAAGAAAAAAAUGACGGUAUCUGCAGAAAAAGCACCGGCUAACUCUGUGCCAGCAGCCGCGGUAAUACAGAGGGUGCAAGCGUUAUUCGGAAUCACUGGGCGUGAAGAGCUCGUAGGCGGUUAAUUAAGUCAUAUGUGAAAGCCCUGCGCUCAAUCCAGGAAGUGCAUCUGAUACUGGUUGACUGGAGUGCA